rnacentral:rRNA from 1 species
CCAGACUCCUACGGGAGGCAGCAGUGGGGAAUAUUGCACAAUGGGGGAAACCCUGAUGCAGCGACGCCGCGUGAGUGAAGAAGUAUUUCGGUAUGUAAAGCUCUAUCAGCAGGGAAGAUAAUGACGGUACCUGAGUAAGAAGCCCCGGCUAACUACGUGCCAGCAGCCGCGGUAAUACGUAGGGGGCAAGCGUUAUCCGGAUUUACUGGGUGUAAAGGGAGCGUAGACGGCAUGGCAAGUCUGAAGUGAAAGCCCGGGGCUCAACCGCGGGACUGCUUUGGAAACUGUUAAGCUGGAGUGCAGGAGAGGUAAGUGGAAUUCCUAGUGUAGCGGUGAAAUGCGUAGAUAUUAGGAGGAACACCAGUGGCGAAGGCGGCUUACUGGACUGUAACUGACGUUGAGGCUCGAAAGCGUGGGGAGCAAACAGGAUUAGAUACCCGCUAU